AGCAGUUGAAAUACACUGUAAUAAAACAUUCCAACCCAUGGUUAAACAUGGUUGCAAGCUAACGGUAACAGCUAAUGCUAAGAUCAAGGUCGACCAAAGACCUUAUCCUGAAAUGUUUAAAUACGUGUACUAUAAUUUAAUUUGCACACAUGGUGGAUUCAAUUCAAGCAAAGGAAUAGGGAAAAGAAAUUCAGGAUCAGCAAAAAAUAACUGUCCAGCUAAAAUUUAUGCUGCUUUAACAAAAGAUAGAACAAAAAUAAUUAUUAAACAAAUGAUAGAAACGCACAAUCAUGUUAUUGAACAAGAUCUUUACAAACACUAUGUCCAAAAUAGAAAGCUAUCAAAUGAAGAGAAGGCCAAAGUUUAAGAACUGAGUCGUCUUGGUGUUACUACUAAAGUAAUUGCUGAUGAAAUGAGAAAGAGUACAGGAAAAUCCAUAGUAAAUAAGGACAUUUGGAACAUUAAGGAUAAAAUUCGUCAAAAAGAAAAAAUAUGCCCAUCUUCAAGAAAUGUUUUAAAUGUUGCAGAACUGCUAGUGAAAGUAGUUGAGAAAAGAAGAGAGAGUGAUCUUGGACUGGUAUCACAAUAUGGUAUGUCAGAUGAUAAUACUCUUCAGUAUUUAUUUGUUCAAACUAGUGUAAUGAGAUCCAUAUUUAGUAAGUUUCCUGAGCACAUUUGUA